rnacentral:rRNA from 1 species
AGGACGAACGCUGGCGGCGUGCUUAACACAUGCAAGUCGAGCGGUAAGGCCUUCGGGUACACGAGCGGCGAACGGGUGAGUAACACGUGGGUGAUCUGCCCUGCACUUCGGGAUAAGCCUGGGAAACUGGGUCUAAUACCGGAUAUGACCUCCUAUCGCAUGGUGGGUGGUGGAAAGAUUUAUCGGUGCAGGAUGGGCCCGCGGCCUAUCAGCUUGUUGGUGGGGUAAUGGCCUACCAAGGCGACGACGGGUAGCCGACCUGAGAGGGUGACCGGCCACACUGGGACUGAGACACGGCCCAGACUCCUACGGGAGGCAGCAGUGGGGAAUAUUGCACAAUGGGCGAAAGCCUGAUGCAGCGACGCCGCGUGAGGAUGACGGCCUUCGGGUUGUAAACCUCUUUCAGCAGGACGAAGCGCAAGUGACGGUACCUGCAGAAGAAGCACCGGCUAACUACGUGCCAGCAGCCGC